GGAUAUGAGGGUGAUCUGGCUGUGACAUCUGUCACCCCAUUGAUUGCCAGGGUUGAUAAAGCUGAUCUGGCUGGGCGGGUGUCCCCUUUCUCCCUCAGCACGCCAUGUGGGUCUCUCUUGAAGCUGCUCGCUGAGUGGAAGAGGAUGUCCACCCCCAAUAGAGGAGGACUGUUUCCUCAGUCAAGGGUGUACAAGUAGCUGUGGUCCCCUACUAGAACCUUCAAAAGAAUAAUAAGAGAAAUAUUAUGAACAAUUUUUUGCCAGUAAAUUUGACAACCUAAGUAAAUGGUCAGAUU
rnacentral:snRNA from 1 species